rnacentral:rRNA from 1 species
AUUGAACGCUGGCGGCAGGCCUAACACAUGCAAGUCGAACGGUAACAGGAAGAAGCUUGCUUCUUUGCUGACGAGUGGCGGACGGGUGAGUAAUGUCUGGGAAACUGCCUGAUGGAGGGGGAUAACUACUGGAAACGGUAGCUAAUACCGCAUAACGUCGCAAGACCAAAGAGGGGGACCUUCGGGCCUCUUGCCAUCGGAUGUGCCCAGAUGGGAUUAGCUAGUAGGUGGGGUAACGGCUCACCUAGGCGACGAUCCCUAGCUGGUCUGAGAGGAUGACCAGCCACACUGGAACUGAGACACGGUCCAGACUCCUACGGGAGGCAGCAGUGGGGAAUAUUGCACAAUGGGCGCAAGCCUGAUGCAGCCAUGCCGCGUGUAUGAAGAAGGCCUUCGGGUUGUAAAGUACUUUCAGCGGGGAGGAAGGGAGUAAAGUUAAUACCUUUGCUCAUUGACGUUACCCGCAGAAGAAGCACCGGCUAACUCCGUGCCAGCAGCCGCGGUAAUACGGAGGGUGCAAGCGUUAAUCGGAAUUACUGGGCGUAAAGCGCACGCAGGCGGUUUGUUAAGUCAGAUGUGAAAUCCCCGGGCUCAACCUGGGAACUGCAUCUGAUACUGGCAAGCUUGAGUCUCGUAGAGGGGGGUAGAAUUCCAGGUGUAGCGGUGAAAUGCGUAGAGAUCUGGAGGAAUACCGGUGGCGAAGGCGGCCCCCUGGACGAAGACUGACGCUCAGGUGCGAAAGCGUGGGGAGCAAACAGGAUUAGAUACCCUGGUAGUCCACGCCGUAAACGAUGUCGACUUGGAGGUUGUGCCCUUGAGGCGUGGCUUCCGGAGCUAACGCGUUAAGUCGACCGCCUGGGGAGUACGGCCGCAAGGUUAAAACUCAAAUGAAUUGACGGGGGCCCGCACAAGCGGUGGAGCAUGUGGUUUAAUUCGAUGCAACGCGAAGAACCUUACCUGGUCUUGACAUCCACGGAAGUUUUCAGAGAUGAGAAUGUGCCUUCGGGAACCGUGAGACAGGUGCUGCAUGGCUGUCGUCAGCUCGUGUUGUGAAAUGUUGGGUUAAGUCCCGCAACGAGCGCAACCCUUAUCCUUUGUUGCCAGCGGUCCGGCCGGGAACUCAAAGGAGACUGCCAGUGAUAAACUGGAGGAAGGUGGGGGUGGCGUCAAGUCAUCAUGGCCCUUACGACCAGGGCUACACACGUGCUACAAUGGUGCAUACAAAGAGAAGCGACCUCGCGAGAGCAAGCGGACCUCAUAAAGUGCGUCGUAGUCCGGAUUGGAGUCUGCAACUCGACUCCAUGAAGUCGGAAUCGCUAGUAAUCGUGGAUCAGAAUGCCACGGUGAAUACGUUCCCGGGCCU